rnacentral:rRNA from 1 species
CAGUAGCCACGGUAAUACGAAGGGUGCAAGCGUUAAUCGGAAUUACUGGGCGUAAAGCGUGCGUAGGCGGUGAGUUAAGUCUGCUGUGAAAUCCCCGGGCUCAACCUGGGAAUGGCAGUGGAUACUGGCUCGCUAGAGUGUGUCAGAGGAUGGUGGAAUUCCCGGUGUAGCGGUGAAAUGCGUAGAGAUCGGGAGGAACAUCAGUGGCGAAGGCGGCCAUCUGGGACAACACUGACGCUGAGGCACGAAAGCGUGGGGAGCAAACAGGAUUAGAUACCCCAGUAGUCCCUGUCUCUUAUAU